UUCUGUAAACACAAAUUUUUUUCCUAUAAUAUUAAUAUUUCAAUAAAGAAAAGUAAAAUUCUCUUGCUCUGAUCUAAUCUUAAUGGCCAGUCGAUUAUUUUUCACCAGAACACUAAUGAAGUAUUGCGAAAUCUGGCAGCAUAUCCACAAAUUGCCUCAGUUUGGUUACACUUCCACUACAAAAAUAUCCUUUCUAGAGUUUUUAAGAAAAAAACAAGAUAUGGCCGAACAUGUACAUAAGACUAAUAAUGCACAAAAGGAAGAAGAAAAUGAGAUACCACGAAUAAAUAAUUUUGCUCAAAAAUUUCUGGCUGACUUGGAUGAGGAACGUGAACGACUCGGUGCAGAUUUUCCUUUGUGCGCCUUAUUAAUUGACGAAGCGUUUGAAAGAGUUUACUCUACAGGACGUAUACCAGGUAGAGAGUAUUAUGCAGAUGUAUACCAACAAAAACCUAUAAAAGUCACACAGAAAGUAUUUGUUCCAGUCAAGCAAUUUCCUAAGUUUAAUUUCACUGGGAAAAUUCUGGGACCCAAAGGUAAUUCCUUACGGCGAUUACAAGAAGAAACUCAAUGUAAAAUUGUAAUAAAAGGACGAAACUCAAUACGGGAUCGUUCUAAGGAGGAAGAAAUGCGCGAAUCAGGAGAUCCACGUUUUGCACAUUUGAAUCGAAGUUUAUAUGUGGAAAUUAGUACAAUAGCACCACCAGCGGAAUGCUAUGCGCGUAUUGCAUACGCCUUAGCUGAGAUCCGCAAGUAUCUUGUCCCAGAUAAAAACGAUGAUGUUUCACACGAGCAACUCUUAGAAUUAAUGGAAAUAGAUCCCAAGUCGGCAAAACAGUAUUCCAAAUCUGUUCUCGACAAAAGAAUGAUGACCGGCCCUAGUUCGUCUAAAUUUAUUAAUUUUGCCCGCCAUGGGGAGCAACAGGGAAUGUACCAUAAACGCAGCCGUUGAGGGUUAUCUAUUUGAAAAUCCUAUUUAACUUUUUGUUUGUAAUUUUACUAUUUGUUACGACAAAAAAAUUAUUCGCAGAAAUGAAUCUGAUGAGGAAUUUUACGAAACUCUAACUACCUUACUAACUCCCAUCCAUAAUUAUGGGUAUGUUAAGGCACCUUAUAAACGUCCACCCACCGCCAUAUAUGGAACUGAAUUAAAACGUACUCGCGACACAACUAUUAAAUCAUAUAAACCACCAUCAUUUGGAAUAAUUAAGAAAUAUAAAUAAAGUGUCUUACAUUAUAUAAUGUUUAUAAAAUUUAAAUUUCAAAACUAUAACAUGUAAUAUAUAUAAUAUAUGCGUAUAUUCGAAAAAUAACUCACAAAACAAAAAAAAACAUAAUAUUCUAUUUGAAGUUAACUAACGCACAUUUAACAGUAUAAAGUAACAGUAUAUCAAUUAAACAAUGUAAAACGAGGGAGAUUCUAAAAGUUACAUAAUCCUUGAAACAAAAAUAAUAAAUUAUAACCAUGAAAUAACACAAAUUCCUAUAAUUAUCAUUUAUAAUCUUAGAUGUUUAAUUUGGUUUUCUUUUACAUGUUGAUG